rfam:Halocynthia roretzi Tukv2a mRNA for Kv2 channel alpha-subunit, complete cds.
GUCGGAUAUGGAGAUAUAUAUCCAAAGACAGUGCUUGGCAAACUUGUUGGUGCAACUUGCUGCAUUACUGGUGUUCUGGUCAUUGCCCUCCCCAUUCCCAUCAUUGUAAACAAC